UCUUAUAAAUGAGCAAAGAAAGUGGUGUCUUGAGAUGGAAUCUACUCCCGGUGAAGAUGCCGUGAGCA
rnacentral:pre_miRNA from 1 species